GACGAACGCUGGCGGCGUGCUUAACACAUGCAAGUCGAGCGGAAAGGCCUCUUCGGGGGUACUCGAGCGGCGAACGGGUGAGUAACACGUGAGUAAUCUGCCCUUCACUCUGGGAUAGCCACCGGAAACGGUGAUUAAUACCGGAUACGACACGUCCAGGCAUCUGGUGCGUGUGGAAACUUUUUGGGUGGGGGAUGUGCUCGCGGCCUAUCAGCUUGUUGGUGGGGUAAUGGCCUACCAAGGCUUCGACGGGUAGCCGGCCUGAGAGGGUGACCGGCCACACUGGGACUGGGACACGGCCCAGACUCCUACGGGAGGCAGCAGUGGGGACUAUUGGACAAUGGGCGGAAGCCUGAUCCAGCAACGCCGCGUGAGGGAUGACGGCCUUCGGGUUGUAAACCUCUUUCAGCACCGACGAAGCGAUCCUUUUGGGGAGUGACGGUAGGUGCAGAAGAAGGACCGGCCAACUACGUGCCAGCCGCCGCCGUAACAC
rnacentral:rRNA from 1 species